GGCAGAUGAUGUCCAUUCUCACUAGGGUCUUCCGAUGUCCCAGGCUCAUGCCCUCGCCCUCUCCCUCACUCGUGAGCACUAAUGACACUGCCAAAAGGCUCAGCUGAUACCAGGGG